ACCUGGGCUCCAGUUCUGUUAGUGACUUCUGUGUGAUACUAGGCAGAUUUUUUUAUUCAUUUCCCUGAGCAUCAGGCUUCCAUCUACUAAAAGUCAAUGAUCAAAUUUCCUCCGCUUUAAGAUCCUUUUGAUAAGUUUUAUAUACCUCAUUGUUUCUAGGUCAGCCAAAAGAACAGGAAAUACUGAAAUCCUGAAACUCCCUUGAGAUACACUUCUGACGAGACUUCUUGUCCACUUUUAAAACAUGAGUCUUUCAGAUAAGCUUUGGAUAAGCCUCUGAAUUCUGAAAAGUAAAGCUGAACUACUAUUACUCCAUUGUAAUAAUAUUAAUAGUAAUAAUAAUACAAUGGUUUCUUUCAGAAAGGAAGGGAAAAAUCCACCUAAUGAUUAUACCUGUGAUUUCUCACAUCAGGCAGCUUAAAUAUUAGCAUCAUGAAUGCUAACAUCUGUCUACUGCUUGCUUGCUGUGCAGUGGAGGCAGAAGCUGAACAGACUGUCACAGACAGUGGGCCAAAUCCUCAUCUUGGGAUGUGGGAGUUUUCCUACUACAUACUUGAGUGGUAUCUGGAUGAGAUUCAGGGUUCGGCUUGUGCUACAGACUUCCAUAAUGCUUGCAUGGGAACAUCUGCUCUCUAAAAGUGAUUUGAAAAAUAAAUAACUAUGUAAUAACUUGGCACAGCCUUGUUCCCAAUGUGGAGAAGACCACCCUUGUAGAUCAGGAAGGGGGACUUUGAAGCAAAAGAAACCUGGGACUGAUUAAACCAAAGGUCUGUCUAACCCCUUGUCUUGCUUUUUGAAAGGAGUCAGUACCAAACGUGCCAGAGGAAGGUGUAGAAUCCUUAUCAUUAAAAAUUAGACAUCAACAUGCCUAGAGUGAAAACAUUGUUCCUACCCCUGGGCAGUUAAUAAGUGGUUUCUGCCCUCAUGCCUGUAUGGUUUAUUUUAUAAUAAUAUAACUGCAAAUGUUCUUGUUAUUCAUACAUUUUUUUUAAUCCCACUUCUUAACCUUAGUAAAAUCUAUUGUGAGUUCCCAAGGCUGAUUAUACAACAUAUACACGUAAAUUUCCUUUUACCAAUUUCAGAUCUGUUACUGUUUAAUUUCAUUGCCAGUCUAUUCUCACAGACUUUGGGAAAGAGUGAAAAGCAUACAUUUCAUUAUAAAUCUGGAUGUCAGGAAAAAACAACACAAUACUCUGCUUUGCUCUGUCAGUGUGCAUGUGUUUGUAAUGGGAUUAUGCAGUUCAUCAAAGGUAAAAUUUCUGCUUGCUGAAAAUGUGAGCUGCCAUGUUGUAAUUCUGUUCAGGUGACCUCCUUCAUGUCUCUGUUGUCUAGCUCUUGUGUAGACAAAUUAUAUGUAUAUAUAUAUAUAUAUUUUCAAAGGGUAAGUGUCAUUCUGUGCUUGUCUUAUUUUAGUGCUUUUCCUAGCCAUCUGCUGCUGGCCACCACUGGAAUCAGGCAAAUGAGUGAGUUGGAUCUUUGAUCUGACAUUUUAAAACCUUUUAACCUGUCAAUGAUCAUUGAUAAUUAUCCAGUCAUCUUGAUAUUUGUAGAGCUAGACAAGAACAUGUUCUUCCUUUAGAAGGAAGUGAAUUCAUUUUCAGAAGACAGCUGAGCAUUUUUGGACUCCUUUCAGCACUGCUGAAUACACCAACUUCUAGCUGCUGGAGGCAUGCAUUGCAAAUCACUCUUUAAAUCUUAGCAACAUCUGUAAUAAGGUAACUUGGAAAUUGUUUUUAGUCAUUGAGAUUACGUAGUCAUUCAGUAACUUUUGUAAGAUAUAGUGCUGACACUCUCUUUGUGAUCUGAUUUCCUUUCUUUAAAUCAUGUUGGUGAAAAGAAGAGAGAGGGUGGAAAACUACAAGCAUUGUCAGCUGCUGCAUUGGAUAAUUUUCAACCAAUGCCUUUUUAUAUAUAUGAAGAAAAUGAAAGCCAGAAUUUUCAGUUUCAUGCAAGGCAUGAUUUUCUCAGAUAAUGUCUUCUAAUCGUUCAGUCCAGUUCUCUUCGUAGAGUCUCUGCUGCUGCCCACUUGAAAAUAGAAACAACGUUUAGGGAAGGAUCUGCCUAUGAUAAAUAAACAAUGAUUCAAGUUAUGGCAAAACCCAUCACAAUAUUCAGGAAAACAAUAUUCAAGAACAGUGGCUAUCAGUUGUUAAGACAUUUCUUGCUGGUGAGACGUAAGUACGGUAGAGCUGAAGCAUCGAGACCAAGCAAAUUAACAUUUCCUGAGUACUGAAGAUUCAGCUGCAAUGUCUGCUCUGGGAUUUUGCAGUCAGAAGUAACGGACCACCCAGCUGGCUGUGGAUCUAAUCCAGUGGGUUUAGCUAUACUCAGUAGCUCAACUUUGAUGCUGAAGAAGUGGGGAAAUGUCUAGAAGUGAACCCAGUGAUGGAUGUGUGGCAGAUGUCUUGCUUUCUCAAGAGUGAUUCAGUUACAAAGAGAUUGGUGAUCCCUGUUCUAGACAACAGCACUUCUCCGUUUAAAGACAGAAGUUCCUAUGCUUGUAAAGGAGACCAGGGGCAGGGAGGAAAACAUUGUUUGUUACAUGUUCAAGUUUUUAAGAUUUGCAUAAUUUUCAGAGAAAUGGAACAUCCAGAGGCAGUGAAGUGGCAGAAACCACAUCAAAAGAGAAGGGAAAUUCUUAGUUUUAAGUGCAGAAAAAGGACAGGAACUGUAUCUUCCAUCACUGCAAAAUCAAGAAACUAUUGUUCUCAUGCCUAGUAUCAGCCUUCUCUGUGAUGAGAGAAGAUAUUAUCCUCUCCUUCUGAGACAUAAGGCAGAGGGAAGCUGUGGCUGAACACAAAUGGAGCAGAAGGCUCCUGAGCACUCAGUCAAUGUCUUUACCACAAAACUGUCCUUUUCAAAAUAAACGGGCACAAGUCAUUAUGACAAUAACAUGAGAACUUCAGCUCCUGUUGUUUCUUGUUCAGGCUUUCCUGUAACAAUUAGUUCAUCUCUUUUAAGUGAAUUGAUGACAGCCAAUCACAAAACUGACCUUAUUUAAAUGCUUCUUGGUUCCCUUAUUAUCAUCUGAAAAAUCUGAUUAUUCAUCCAACCAUGGGACACUACACAGGAGAGGCAGAUCAAACAACAGUCUUCUAACUCUUUAUAUUUGGCCACUGGAAGGCCCAGACUUUCAAACAUAUCUCCAGUUUUGAGCACAGGAAAACUAAUGGUUAUUUUAACAAAUGACCCACAUCUUUAAUAAAUAAUUGGGGAUUAUUAAUUGAAAAAAAAUAUUUAGGAAUAUUUUCAAAAGAGGGAAAGUAUUUACUAUAUUAUACCUGAAGAUGGGUGGAUAAUUUCCACUUUUCUCCAGUGAUUCCUUGUAAAAUGUCUUCAGCUCCUUUUUUUUUUUUUUUUUUUUUUCCCCAUUUUUGGUAACUUUUUGUGAAUAAAAAUGAGAAGCUGAUUUUUGUUAUUAACAGUUGCAAUCAUGCUUAACCUUGCAGAAAACCUGAUGCCUUGUCACAUUUUUGCUGAAAUCAUGUGUUUUGGGAAAGAAAGUUCUACCAGAACCAUUUUUCUCCUCUGCAGAGAGGAAAAAUUGUUCUCCACCAGCAGGCAUUGAUUGACAGCCUUCUGAUGAGAGAAAAUUACAGCUAAGUUUCAAAAAGUGGGAGGUGGCACCUGCGGCAUGAUUCCACUUGAGCCUCUCAACAGCCAAAGAAAUGGUCAAGCUCUCAGCCAUGCACAGCAAUGCCAAGCUGGUGUGAAGCAGUCUCCCAGCAUCACAGAAGAGCAGCUGCUGAGAAGGAAACUGGAGAAGGAUGAAGACAAAAAGUACAAUAGGAGGAAUCUGUACAGCUAUUUGCUUGGACACAACACCGAAAAGGCAGCUCUUGAAGGGAGCUCUUAAGAUUACUCAGUGCUGUGAAUUUCAUUUUGGACAAGCAUGGAUUUCAGUUAAUGAUGGAAAUGUGCACAGUGUUGAUGCCCUCUCUAUUACUGAACUAAACAAAGCCACUGGUCUCUGAAAGCAAUGAUAGAAGUUACUCCAAUCUCCACAGGGAUAAUUAGAAUCUCUGCAUUGGCCCUUGAAGACAAUAAAACAAACAAACAUACAACAAUGACAACAACAAAAACACCCUGUCUCAAAAAUGUUCUGUCCUGGUGUGUGUGAAAUGCUCAGAGCUGCUAAAAACUUUUGAUGAUUUCACCCACAGAGACUGCUCCAUGUGAAAGAACUGAAGAAGCCUACAUUUGGAUCUACCACCCUUCUGAUUCACAACAGGACUUUCCAUAUUCAAAAUUGUACCACAUUUCUGCUAUGUUGCUCCUUUUUCUGGUUCUAAGUCCUAUGCAAGAAACAUUCUAGGACAUAUUGUGUUUCCUUUGAAAUACUUGUUAUUACAGGUUAAACAAAUUGCUUUUGGUCAUAGAAGUUCUAUCCUCCCGACACUGCAAAAAUUCUGUCAUGUACACUAUGCCUUUUUCUUGGAGUUUCCUAUUUUUAUGGUUUGCAAUAUAUAUGCAAGGUACCAGAAAUGGCUAAAGCACAACCGGUAAUUUUAAAUGCUGCACAUGUUGUGUAGGUUUAUCUUGCAAGUAGCUGCCAAAGAACACAAGAGUGAAUAUAUACCUUCCCUAAUGAGAUAUGAUAUUUAAUUUUAAAAUGUUCUUUGGAAAAUGGUGUUUAUAUCAAAUAUUUGUAACUGAGUACUUUGCAGGUUUGAAGUCAGUGCCUUUUGACAAAUUUUACCUGUGGGUGUGUUCCACAUGAAAGAUGCCAUAGAGGACGGUGAGCACAGCUCGCUUGUUCAUCAGAUCUGGUUUCAUCACAGGUCCCAGGCUUACAGGUCCUUGCCUCUCUGCCUACCUAUGUGUGUAUCAACAUCUCUCAAAGAGCUAUAAUACACUGAAGUACUUUAGACUGCUUUGUUCACAUAUACAUGUCGCUUUGGGGGAUGAACUGACUAGCAGUUAGUUCAUCUGAGGCAACUGAAGCCUGAAAUCUAAAUAAAAAGAGAGUGCUACACAGCUCUACCAAUAGGAUCAUAUGCCUUGAUGCUUCUCUGUAAAACUAUGCAUUUGAUUCCCAGCUGUUUGCAUUAUUGAUGUCUAUGCUAGGGAGCUUUUUAAACAAUGCUGGGGAAAUUGCCUGUGGCAGAGGAAGUGUGAGCCCAUCUAAACUAGCUGUAUGACCCACAGCUUAGGAGAGCACUUUUAGGAAAAUGUGGACCGUGGCCAUGGGCCAGUAACACCAAAAGCUGCAAAGUUUGCCUUGCCCAGCUACGAAGUAAAAACGUGUGUAAUUGAGAUUGCUGGGUCUUGAGAACUCCUGAAAAAGAAGUGCAGAUGGUACAGUUACCCGGAGUACAGGAAUCCCUAAAGAAAGGCUAACGUGUUUGGCUGUCUUUGUUACACAGAAACAAAACAAAACAAACAAACAAAAAGAAAAAAGGGAAAAAAAUGAAGCCUUUUUGGCAGGAGAGUAAAUGUGUCAUUGGGUAAGAAUCCUGCAGCUGGCUAACACUGUAGCUGAGAAAGUUAAUUACAUACAAGAAGAUGUCAGGAUAUAGCUCAGACAGCAAGCGGGAAUGGAGCAGAGGUUUGGACAUGGCAGUUAGCAUUCCCUCGGCAAGGAUGUGCUGAGUUUGCAUGCACAGCCUGGGCAAACGUCCUGGCUGGAGGAAUCCAGCCUGUGGCAUGUGGGCAUGGAGUCUGUGGGCAUGUGCACAGAGCAGUUGUGGCUAUUUAGAGACAUGACUUGUGCCAACUGAAAGAGGUUGGAUCUGGCAUUUGGCAUUAAGGCUAGCUCUGCUUUUAGUCAUUCUGAAGUGCAAACAAAUACUCAGAUACUCAAUAUUGAAGUGUCCAAAAGUGCAGGACUGCAAAACUGCAAUAUUGCCUUUGUUUUCUAAUUUUAGAAGAGAGGAUACACUUCCCUCCUGGUACUACAGCAUGGCUAAAAUCAAGAAAGAUCUGAGUAAAUCUUACUGGACUAUGCUCUGUGAGGGUGGGCUUCAGCUCCAGCUUUAUUCAGGUUUCUGUACAUGAACUGGUGUCUGAGGACUCACUGGAAAACUCAAUAAUAAAGUCAAUGGGGCCAAUAUCGCUCCAUUGAUUUGGCACUAUUGCAGAUACUUCACAAUGGUCGCAAUGAUUCCAUCAACAUCCAUACAACUGCUUAUGCAUGGGCAUUUAAUGCUCCAUGGCAUGCUGGCUGGCUUCCAAUGGCUGCUCCAGCAAGGCACCGACCUCUUGCAGGUCCUGUGAUGUAUUUGCCAACCCCAUUUAGAUCCCUUGGAUGCCACAGGACAUCUCUAAUGAAAAAGCCUUUGUUUGGGCAACAGAGGAAAUCUUUAUUGAUUGUACUAACUAGACCACUGUUGACUAUAAUAUCUAAGGACCAGUAAGGAGUACAACACGUUGAGUAGAUGUAGACAGCUAUUAACAAAAACAUUUUGGUACUGUCUUUGGAUGCUGAAUGGUCUGGAUAGCACCCACCUCACUUCAGAAGGCAGUGCACUGAACAGCAUAUAUUAGGAAAGUGCUUAGGUAAGGGCUAAAUAUUAAGUGCAAAGACUCACUGGUACUCCUGAUACCCUGCAGGCCCAUCCUGUGGUAGCUUCUGUACUAUAAGGCAAGGAAUUUUAUUAUUUCAGUGCAUUUUCUCCUUCCUUGAGGAAACGUGAAGUUUGUCCCUUAAAUCAACUUCUAAAUUUCUAGACAGGCAAAAGCAUUAUUUAUGACAAAACAAAGCCACAGUAAAAAAAAAAAAAAAAGACAAACAUAUGGCUAAGCAUUUUAACCUUAGCUAAACACUGUAAAUUUGUUAGGAGGCAAAGAACAAAUAUUUAUGUUUGUUUCUGCUUGUUGCUCUCACGGAAUAUGGUAGGCUGAAUGGGACGUGGCACAGCAACAGCAGGGAAGAGCUGUGGCGCAGUGUGGCUGGAGCAGGUCCCAUUAAAGGAAAGAAAAGGUCCAGCUGCUUGUCCAGUCCAGCCAGACACUGAAGUUUAGUCCUCCCUUACCUUACUAUAGCCCUGCAUUUGAGGUCCAUAGGCAGAAGUCCACGAUCAAACCAAUAACUAAUGAUUUGUUUUCCUUGUACAUGUAUCUUUUUGUAUCUGUAAAUCAUAAAUGCUCUUCUCCUCAUACACUUGCUUGCCACAUAUGCCCAGCUUGGAUACUAAUGCUCUUGACCUUGGCUUUGUCCAGUUUGGAUCUGUAUUUUAAAUGGUAUUUAAAAUCAACAUCUUAGGGAAAACUAGAAUGUGUCUCCUACUGUAAAGCAACAUAUAGCGAAGAGAUACCUGAUCUAACUGACCAGAUAAGAUUUCCAGAUGAAGCAGAAUAGCGUGGUGCCAAUUUUUCAGUUCAUGGUUGUCUGCUAAGGGGAGUUCUAGCAACUGGAAUCCAGGUUUCCCAACCGUUAAAUUAGUAUUUCAGAAACUAGAGAGUAAAUGUUCAUAACCUGCAUGAGAGAUUAUUUGGAUUCAAAUGGUUCAUAUUCUCUUUGUAAUGCUUUUAGUGUAUUUACCUGAAAAGCUUUUAAAGUUGACAAUAAAGAUACCAAAUUAAAUCCUGUCAGUACUAAAGCUAAUGCCAACCUCUUCUUGACUUUUCCCAGGGCCAGAAUUUCACUCAUUAUAACAAGUUUGUUUUAUUUCUGUCUUGCUGGCAAAAGUGAUAUCCCAUUAUGACCCAGUUAGCAUAUUUUUCCAUCUCUAGAGCAGAGAAUGUUUCCCUGAAGUUGUUCUGGGAGGAGCCAUUCUGGGACCACCUCUUCCCUGUGUCUGGAACAAAGGCUUGGGAUGCUCAUCUGGUACCACCAGUAUGAUGAAGCCCUUAUGUGUGGUCCAGAUCCAGGCUAUGGGGUGGUUAACGAGAAGAGGUGUGCCAGACUGAGAAGGAAAGAGAUCCUUGUACAUACGCACCCUGAUGACCCAUUUCAGAACCUGGAUUUGAAGUUAAGCAUCUGAUAUACAGCUAGUACUACAAAUUUGUAGCACUCAUUUUACUGGCCUGUUUAGGUCCCCUAUAGGGAUGGGAUGAUUAUCACCCUGGAAGGUUAUCCAGGCACCAGAGGAACAGCAGCAAGCCCCAGAUAAACUGUUUGUUGUUGUUGUUGUUGUUGUUUUUCUUUCUGUUUUCUUCUGUUCAGUCAUUUUUGUCGAAGAUUUUCUUUUGAAGUUCAUCAUGUCUCUCAUCUUUCCUAUGUAUGCAAUUUCUAUGCAAAAAGAGCCAGAAAUUAUAUCCAAAUGAUAUUCUGUCCUGUGCAGACAGAAGAGAGAGUUUUCUUUCAUAAAUAGAGCUGAGCUUUUAAUCCAGGUAUGCUGCAAUAUUUUAGGAUGAAAGGUAGAGAAGUAAGAAGCAAAGAACAGUUCUUAGAAUACAGAAAUAUUUUUCCCUGCUAAUUUUACUUUCUUGCUGCUUUAUGUUUGAAAGCCAAAAAAUGUGAUAAGAAAAAAUACAAGCAAAAGCCAAAUGCUAUCUGUCCUAAUUAAACAAGCUGCCAAAAAAAUACAGAUGGAUGCCCCCAAAAAUCCAUACUCUGCAUUGACAAUAUCCAAAAACAAUAUUUUACCUCAUGUUUCCAUUAUUUCCCUUUACAACCAAAAACUGUGUUUGGGAACACACCCCUUUCUAUUGCUCCUUGCAUAGCAUUUAUCAAAUGUCUGUCUACACUGCAGUCAUUCCUGUGUUUGAACCUCACAUAGACAUGGCUCUAAGAUUUCAGUGAGCUAACCUGGGUACUGCUUGCAAGAAAGAUGUGAUACCACAGGACUCAGCUUGGGCAUGCCUACCGAGUCUCUAGGUUUUCCCAGGUACAUUUAUUUUUCAUCUUGGAUUUCUCUGAAGGUGCGGUUUGAGGAAAGAUAAUACAUGUCUAGGCUGACUGAUAGCUUAUGUAGGGCAGAUGAUUUUAUCAGACUGCUGUUCAUGUGGAGACACUAGACGUACUAUUAGUCAUAUGUCCAAGACUUCAGGCAACUGCAUGCACUAUGGUGGCCCUACACAGCCAGCCCCGCACUGUGCAACUGCCCAGGUUCCAGGAAACAUUGGCUAAACCCCUUGAACAUCCUCUGCUCAUGUGGCCUGCACAUGCAUCGGAAGUUAUAUGCCUCCUGUGCACAUCAGAUUUACUACUUGUGCACAGAAAAAAUAAGUGUAUUGUAAGUCUGAUUCUCAUGGAUGGGUUGCUUUAGUUGUCUGCUCACAGUUUACUGUGAGCAGAACACUAUAUUUUGAUAAAGUAACAUGACUUUGGACUGUCAUAUAAGUCUAUCUGCUUAUGAUGCAGAGGGGUUCAUGCAUAAUUCACCGGGCAUGAGAAACGGGGCAAAUGCCUCUUUUCUGACAAUGAACAGAGAGCUGAGGGAGACAUCCAGAGUCCAAGCUGCCAAAGCAGGGGCACAGCAGGCAGUGAGUGUGCAGCACCGCCAAAGCCCUCAGGGUUCCUUGGGGCAGCUGCAUGCCAGCUUGCAUGAGGGAGCCCACCCAGAGCUCCUGGGGAGCUUCUGCAAAAGUUGCGGCAAUGGAAGAAGCUAUGGAAAGUUGCUGGACUGGAUAGCGAAGCUGGAGGAAAGGACUCGUGCUGCGAAAAUAUGCUGGGUUAGAGGAGGGCUUUGUUUUCAAACAUUUGAUUUUAAUCUGUUUCACUCAGCAGAUUUAAGUGCUUUAUUUUUGAAAAGAUUUCGUUUUUCAUUCUAGAGACUGCAAGCCCUUUUGGUGGCUUUGGUAUGCUAACCUUACAGGGGAGGUGGGACAAUUGUCCCUGAAGUUCUGGCCUCGUACAGCUGUCCGAGAAACACAGUCCACUUUUAUUAACACACUUCUGUUCUGUUGUGGCAAUCCAAAGCUAGGACUCCAGAGCCUGCCCAAGUAGUGAGAUGAGUAGUGAAUGGUUUUCCUAUGCCAAUUCCACACUGGUCCCUUCACUGAACUGAACUUAGCACCUGAGUUAUUUUCUAGGUUCCCUCUGCAGUCAGUGAGAGGAGAAGGACUGACACAGGCACCAAGCGAGCCCUUGGGACAGCUGUCUGAAAUAGGUGAGCCAAAUCCUUACCUGCACCUUUCAGCUGAUCCUUGAGGGAGAUGAGAUGAAAAGAAAAGCUUAGGCCUCACUAUCUGAACCAUAUCUACUGAUAGCUGAAAUUAGGUGAGGUGAAUGUUUUAAGAAUCCGUUGUGGGUUAGCUCUGGCAGGCAGUUAGGUACUCCUCAGCUGCUCGCUCACACAAUGCUCAUGUUUGUGAAUGAAGGACAGAAGGACAUGAAACCUUCUAUCAUUAACAUUAACACUUCUAACAUUAAAGAGAAUAUCUUUUUCAGAGAGGCUGUCCACAUUCUUCAUGGUCCCAAGCAGCACCAGGGAGAAUGCACUCUAGGCUACCAUGUGCUCAUUUGCAAUGUGUUGCAUGUAUGAAUGGAUCAGAUAACUCCAGAGAAAAAGGUCAAUAGUAACUGGGGGAAGGGAGCAAAAAACUGAGAGGACAGAUUUAUUAACAUUUAGAACCAAAUGUAAUUUAUUGGAAUGGAAUUGCAUUAAUUAUUCCUUUUCUGAUUAUUAUGCCGGUAGGAUAAAAUUACUAUUUAAAUGGCAUGUGAUGGACUCAAAAGCUAAAGCAAACCUAAAUAAAAAUAUUUUCUUGUUAAUUUGGUGAACUGUUUACAUAAAUGUUAAAUUUUCUGCACUAGUCUCUAUUGUGCACAAUUUCAACAUUUGUCCCAUACUCCAAAAUUUAUAAUUAUCUCUGUGUGCUGUUCUGGCCUAAAUGCAUUUUUCUAUUGACAUGGUCCAAAAAUGUAAUAUUCACCAUAAAGUUUGUCCUCUGUAGAGUUCUGGACUAUAUUGCCCUGGUCCUACUCCUUUAUUUCUUUGCUCUUCAUUUUUCAGGCAGAUACAUUCAUAUAUCUCCGGUCUUUGCUUACAUCCAAAUUUCAAUAGCUUCCUAUAUACUUUUCUGAUACUCUCUGAUAUUGUUAUUACCUGCAUUUUAAUACAGGCAAUUCAGUGAUUUAAUUAAAUGAAUUUUUGCUUCACUGCAAUAAUCCAGGCUAAUGACUGCUUAUGGAUUCUGAUUCC